ACGUCUCAGUUCGGACUGUAGUCUGCAACCCGACUACACGAAGCUGGAAUCGCUAGUAAUCGCGGAUCAGAAUGCCGCGGUGAAUACGUUCCCGGGUCUUGUACACACCGCCCGUCACACCAUGGGAGUCGGUAACGCCCGAAGCCAGUGACCCAACCUUAGGGAGGGAGCUGUCGAAGGCGGGACGGAUAACUGGGGUGAAGUCGUAACAAGGUAUC
rnacentral:rRNA from 1 species